rnacentral:rRNA from 1 species
UAGGGAAUCUUCGGCAAUGGACGAAAGUCUGACCGAGCAACGCCGCGUGAGUGAAGAAGGUUUUCGGAUCGUAAAACUCUGUUGUUAGAGAAGAACAAGGACGUUAGAAACUGAACGUCCCCUGACGGUAUCUAACCAGAAAGCCACGGCUAACUACGUGCCAGCAGCCGCGGUAAUACGUAGGUGGCAAGCGUUGUCCGGAUUUAUUGGGCGUAAAGCGAGCGCAGGCGGUUUCUUAAGUCUGAUGUGAAAGCCCCCGGCUCAACCGGGGAGGGUCAUUGGAAACUGGGAGACUUGGGUGCAGAAGAGGCGAGUGGAAUUCGAUGUGUAGCGGUGAAAUGCGUAGAUAUAUGGAGGAACACCAGUGGCGAAGGCGGCUCUCUGGUCUGUAACUGACGCUGAGGCUCGAAAGCGUGGGGAGCAAACAGG